rnacentral:rRNA from 1 species
GACGAACGCUGGCGGCGUGCCUAAUACAUGCAAGUAGAACGCACAGUUUAUACCGUAGCUUGCUACACCAUAGACUGUGAGUUGCGAACGGGUGAGUAACGCGUAGGUAACCUGCCUGGUAGCGGGGGAUAACUAUUGGAAACGAUAGCUAAUACCGCAUAAUAUUGAUUAUUGCAUGAUAAUUGAUUGAAAGAUGCUAUUGCAUCACUACCAGAUGGACCUGCGUUGUAUUAGCUAGUAGGUGAGGUAACGGCUCACCUAGGCGACGAUACAUAGCCGACCUGAGAGGGUGAUCGGCCACACUGGGACUGAGACACGGCCCAGACUCCUACGGGAGACAGCAGUAGGGAAUCUUCGGCAAUGGACGAAAGUCUGACCGAGCAACGCCGCGUGAGUGAAGAAGGUUUUCGGAUCGUAAAGCUCUGUUGUAAGAGAAGAACGGGUGUGAGAGUGGAAAGUUCACACUGUGACGGUAUCUUACCAGAAAGGGACGGCUAACUACGUG